rnacentral:lncRNA from 1 species
CUGAGAUAACGGAACAGAAUACUUGCGGUCUGCCUCUCCUGCUCCCGAGACCGUCGCCCUACACCUGGGCGCUAGACGCGAAAAUCCGCGGAGUUUCCCUCCCUUAAGCCAGUUCGAGAAGGCCAGUCUCCUUACUCUCUAAAGAAAAACAUACCCCCUCGUCCCUCUCCUUCUCCUCUCUUUAUAUCUUUAUUCUACCCUGAGGUGAGCGCUCCCGUCGCCUCCUGCGCCUCCUGUGCUCCCUGUGCGUCCGCUGCGGCCUCUGUGCCUGUUGUCCUUGCCAACCGCCCGGCGGCUCUUCCCUCUGCGAGCUGGCAGGCGUUCUGUUUUGCCGCCGCCGGGUCGUUCAUUCCUUGAGAUGGGCCUGCACUGCUAAGGCCCAUUGAGGAUCUGUGGUGGCGGCUGAGGGUCCGCGAGGACCGCUUGCCACGCGGAUGGAAGGAAGAAGCGAGGGCUUCAACACGCUCCCGGUCUGGAGCAGGUACCGCCGCCUGCACCGCCAUUACCUUCCGCCCAGCUGCCGUUGUCUUCCCAUCGACCUCACCGGCGUCGCCACCUCCGCCUGUUGCUAUCGCCCUUUUCGCCGCCGUCCCCUGCCACCACCAGCCUUCGCCUUCCGCCGCUUGCCGCCCGCCGCUGCCUGCCGCCAGCCACCACCUCGGCGCCAC